rnacentral:rRNA from 1 species
CCUACGGGUGGCUGCAGUAGGGAAUCUUGCUCAAUGGGGGAAACCCUGACGCAGCAACGCCGCGUGGGGGAUGAAGGUUUUCGGAUUGUACACUCCUUUUGUUAGAGAAGAUAAUGACGGUAUCUAACGAAUAAGCACCUGCUAACUCCGUGCCAGCAGCCGCGGUCAUACGGAGGGUGAGAGCGUUACGCGGAAUCACUGGGCGUAAAGAGCGCGUAGGCGGUUUAGCAAGUCAGAUGUGAAAGCCUAUGGCUUAACCAUAGAACUGCAUUUGAAACUGUUAUUCUAGAGUAUGGAAGAGGGAGGUGGAAUUCUUGGUGUAGGGGUAAAAUCCGCAGAGAUAUAGAGGAACACUCAUUGCGAAGGCGACCUGCUAGAACAUAACUGACGCUGAUGCGCGAAAGCGUGGGGAGCAAACAGGAUUAGAUACCCCUGUAGUC